rnacentral:rRNA from 1 species
UUAAUCGGAAUUACUGGGCGUAAAGCGUGCGCAGGCGGUUUGCUAAGACAGGUGUGAAAUCCCCGGGCUUAACCUGGGAACUGCGCUUGUAACUGGCAAGCUAGAGUGUGGCAGAGGGGGGUGGAAUUCCACGUGUAGCAGUGAAAUGCGUAGAGAUGUGGAGGAACACCGAUGGCGAAGGCAGCCCCCUGGGCUAACACUGACGCUCAUGCACGAAAGCGUGGGGAGCAAACAGG